rnacentral:lncRNA from 10 species
ACACACGAAAGACGGCCCUGCCUUCCAGGGCUCGCUAGAUCCUUGGUUCCUGUCGUGGAAGAGAGGGGCAGAGACUGGGACUACAGGCAUGGAUUUUCAGGUUUAUAACAUGGCAGAGUGAAUUCUGGCAACACACUGAGUGAUGCUUGUCAAUGGCCACUAUCAGGAAUUUAAAACAAGAGGGAGGGCCUAGCUCUGUCGCUCGGGCUGGAAUGCAGUGGUGUGAU